CCCGACGCUGGAAGCUGCUGCCUGCCCCUCGGUGGGGCCACCCCGACUUUGGGCCCCGAGCCCCGCCGCAGGAGGACAAGGAGAGGACCUGGAGGACUCAAGAUUGGAAAUUUCAAGCUGAAGUCAUAUGACAUUUCGUGCCAUGCGGGUUUCAAUGCAAGUAGACUUCAUUGGAAUAUCCCUGGAGUGCACAGAACAUUGGACUCCCGAUGCGCUGCAUACUGCAGCGGACAGAUCAGUGAGGGCAUCUUCUAUUUCUGCGUUCCAAGUUUACGUGAAACUGAACAUUUAGCAUUGCAUCACACAUGCACCCAUCAACACCCUCACACCGCAGCAGGCUAGAGGCAGACUAGACUAGAAGACGACUAGAUCCUGAUGAGAUGUGUACUGCCGGUCAAGGAUCUAUCUUCUGUCUCCUUUAUUGCUGUUGUGCAUGGGACCGAAGAUUGGACUUUUCAUGAAGAGGUCAUCUAGCAUUUUGUGCCAGGCGGGUUUCAACGCUCCUGACUUUGUUAGGAUUGAGAAAAACGCAGCUUCCAUCAAAUCUCAUGUAAACCUGCUGUAGCUGGCAGGUUAGAAGGAAAAUGGUAGGUACCGUAAACUAGACGCCUGAUGGACUGCAGUGCAAGGAUCGGCGUAAACAUCUUCCUCUUCUGGAUUUCUAUGGCACAUGGAACCAAACAGUAGAAAUUCUAAUAAGGCUCCCAAUUAGCACUUUGGCCUGGAAACAGUUUCAUCACAAGUGCUUCUUUCAGGAAGGAGAAUACGAACACUCCUCAAAACACAUUCACCCUUAUUUACUGAGGAAGCUAGAAGAAAACUGACUCCUGCAAAACACUAGACUCCACACAGACUGAAUACUGCAGAACAAGGAUCAGCGUAGAUACCUCCUUCACUGUAUUUCAGGAGUGCAAGGAACUGAACAUUUGAACAUUUCCAAAAAGGGCGGUCUUACAGCAUUUCUUGCCAUGCGGGUCUUAAUGCAGGUGGCUUUGAUAGUUUUAGAAGAAACCCACGUUCAUCAACUUUCUGAUUUAACUUGGCUAAUUUAGCAGGCUAGAAGAAAACUGACUCAUACAGAAGAUAAGACUCUUCGUGGGCUGUACAGUGGAGGGCAACGAUCGGGGUAGAUACCUUCCAUCUCUACAUUACCUUUGUACAGUUCAAAGUACCAGAAGAGUGUAGGCGACAUUUCGUGCCAAACUGGUUUCAACCUAAAGAGCUCUAGAAAAGCACAUUCAAUUGGCUUUCUUAUUUAACUUGCCUAGUCAGCAGAGUAGAAGAAAAAUGAUACCUGUAGAAAAAUAGACUCCUGAUGAGCUGCUACUCUACGUUUCAUUGACUGGUGUAUGCAUCUUCUGAUUCUUUGUGACUAUUCUAUAUGGAACAGAACAUUCAGAAUUUCUUGCAGGUGUCAUAAAGUAUGUCGUGCCUUGACAUGUUUCAACUCUCUUAUUUACACUUAUUUACACUUAGAAGGAUGGAAGAAACCUGGGGUCCGCCAGAACAUUAGAAUCCGGACAUGAUGCUCCCAUAUGGCAUUUCAUGCCAGGAGGUGACUUUCACAGAGUAAAGAAAAAACCCACUCACUCACCAUCCUCACAUUCAAUCUCAGCAGGCUAGAAGGUAAACGACUCAGGCGGAAGACUAGAUCCUGAUGAACUAUGCACUGUUAGCCAAGGAUCGGUACAACUAUCGUCUGUCUCCUUUAUUGUUGUUAUACAGGGGACUGAAGUCGGUUCCAUGUAAUAUAGAAAUCGAGAAAAGGAAGCUGUUUUUCAUCGAUCUUUGCACUGCAGUGCAUCAGGAGUCUAGUUGUCAGUACGAACCAUUUUGCUUCCUAUCCUGCCAACUGCAGCCAGUUAUAAAGAGAUUUGAGAGAAGGUGCGUCUUCCUCAAUCUUAGCGGAGUCACUACUGGAAAACCUGCU